AAAACCCAUUUCUCAGGUGGUUCACUCACAGAGCUGGCAAGCUGAUCCUAAUAAAUUGGUUUCUAUACAUGUGAGCCUCUUCAUACGUUGCUUGAGUAUCUUUAUGACAUGUCUCCUGAGUAAGUGAUUCAAGAGAGCAAGCUUGGAGUUGCAAUACCUUUUGUGACCUAGUCACAAAAUAUCACUUCUGUCAUACAGACCAGCUCUGAUUCUAUAUGGAAGUUGAACACAUAAGACUAUAGAUAUUGGGAGUUAUCUUGGAUACUUGUCACCACAUAUAUCUAGAAAAUAAAACAUUGGUGAAAUCAACAGUGACUAAGAAGGAGGAAUCACAUAAGAACAUCAUCAGGGAUGAACAAUUCUCAUUUUGAAGAUCACUACACCGGAGGCGUUCAAUGCAAUGAUGCUGUUGAAAACAGAAAGUCUGGAGAGAGAGACCUUGGGAGUCAAGGAGAAAAUCUUGUGAAGACAUAGCCGCCUGGCUGUAUCUCAGAGGAUGAUUCCCAGCCGAGAGCAAAGUGCAAGCCAAAGUAUUUUCAAAAGCAUUCAUGGGGACCAUUAAAGGCUUAUGACAACUUCAUAUAAUGAGAACUUAAA